UACGGGGGGAGCAAGCGUUGUUCGGAUUUACUGGGCGUAAAGGGUGCGUAGGCGGCGCGGUAAGUCGGGUGUGAAAUCUCGGGGCUUAACUCCGAAACUGCAUUCGAUACUGCCGUGCUUGAGGACUGGAGAGGAGACUGGAAUUUACGGUGUAGCGGUGAAAUGCGUAGAUAUCGUAAGGAAGACCAGUGGCGAAGGCGGGUCUCGUGGACAGUUCCUGACGCUGAGGCACGAAGGCCAGGGGGAGCAAACGGG
rnacentral:rRNA from 1 species